GCAAGUCGAACGAUGAAGCUUCCUGCUUGCAGGAAGUGGAUUAGUGGCGAACGGGUGAGUAUCACGUGAGCAACCUACCCUUGACUCUGGGAUAAGCCUGGGAAACUGGGUAUAAUACCGGAUAUAACCUCUUACCGCAUGGUGAGUGGUGGAAAGCUUUUGCGGUCCUGGAUGGACUCGCGGCCGAUCAGCUUGACGGUGAGGUAACGGCUCACCGUGGCGAUGACGGGUAGCCGGCCUGAGAGGGUGACC
rnacentral:rRNA from 1 species